CUGAUUGGGUGAAUGUGCGGUGUUUGAGUUUGAGUGUGUGUGUGUGUGUGAGAGAGAAAUCUGUUAAAAAACCUACACAGUGAUCUUAUUUGAUCUGGUCUGGGUUUGGCUCUGCUCUGAUCAGAGAUGAUAGGAAAAACGCCCUCGAGCCUCCGUGGCAAUGAGAGCUCGCGAGAAAAUACUCCAGGGCCUCCACGCUUUAUGUUGUGGUCAGAGGUGAUGAAUUGAUCAGAUAUACUAGUUCUGGAUGAGUUUGGGUUUAUCUCAAACUUCACAAUGGACCAUGAGUAGAGAGGCGAUUCUGAUCUUA